rnacentral:rRNA from 1 species
UGAGGAAUAUUGGUCAAUGGGCGAGAGCCUGAACCAGCCAAGUAGCGUGCAGGAUGACGGCCCUAUGGGUUGUAAACUGCUUUUAUGUGGGGAUAAAGUGCGUGACGUGUCAUGCAUUGCAGGUACCACAUGAAUCAGGACCGGCUAAUUCCGUGCCAGCAGCCGCGGUAAUACGGAAGGUCCGGGCGUUAUCCGGAUUUAUUGGGUUUAAAGGGAGCGUAGGCUGUCUAUUAAGCGUGUUGUGAAAUUUACCGGCUCAACCGGUGGCUUGCAGCGCGAACUGGUCGACUUGAGUAUGCAGGAAGUAGGCGGAAUUCAUGGUGUAGCGGUGAAAUGCUUAGAUAUCAUGACGAACUCCGAUUGCGCAGGCAGCUUACUGUAGCAUAACUGACGCUGAUGGUCGAAAGUGCGGGUAUCAAACAGG